AAGUCGUAACAAGGUUUCCGUAGGUGAACCUGCGGAAGGAUCAUUAUCACGUAUCCACGUACUAACUCCCGUGAACAUCCCUCCUGGGUCGUGGUUGGGUGGCGAAGACAUUAUCCUUUUGCAUCGUGAUUUAGGGACGUAGUCUUCGUCUGGCUUCGAUGCCGAGCCCCCGAUCCUUGAGAGUUAUUUUUUCUUAAACCACGAUAUUUUAACCCUUUUAUUAACAACUUGUACCAAUCGAACUGAUCAUGUUUCCUGCCUCUUUCGUCCGCAAGGACUGAGAGCUCGAAAUAAGUUACGAAACGCAAAACAACUCUUAGCAACGGAUAUCUUGGUUCCCAU
rnacentral:misc_RNA from 1 species